CGGGGUGCAGCAGGCGCGAAAACUUUGCAAUAAGCGAAAGCUUGACAGGGCUAUCCCGAGUGCCAUCCGCUGAGGAAGGCUUUUACCCAGUCUAGAACGCUGGGGGAAUAAGGAGAGGGCAAGUCUGGUGUCAGCCGCCGCGGUAAUACCAGCUCUCCGAGUGGUGUGGAUGUUUAUUGGGCCUAAAGCAUCCGUAGCUGGCUAAGUUAGUCCCUUGUUAAAUCCACCGAAUUAAUCGUUGGAUUGCGGGGGAUACUGCUUGGCUAGGGGACGAGAGAGGCAGACGGUAUUUUCGGGGUAGGGGUGAAAUCCUAUAAUCCCGGGAAGACCACCAGUGGCGAAGGCUGUCUGCUAGAACGCGCCCGACGGUGAGGGAUGAAAGCUGGGGGAGCGAACCGGAUUAGAUACCCGGGUAGUCCCAGCUGUAAACGAUGCAGACUAGGUGUUUGGACGGCCACGUGCCGUUCUAGUGCCGCAGGGAAGCUGUUAAGUCUGCCGCCUGGGGAGUACGAUCGCAAGAUUGAAACUUAAAGGAAUUGGC
rnacentral:rRNA from 1 species